CACUAUUGUUUCUCUAUAGAUCGUAUAAAUCUUUCGCCUUUUACUAAAGAUUUCCGUGGAACAACAUGGGUCUUUCUCAGUUAUGGUUCCACUGGUAUAGUGGU
rnacentral:snRNA from 1 species